CGAUUUGGACGCUGGCGGCAGGCCUAACACAUGCAAGUCGAGCGGCAGCACGGGGAGCUUGCUCCCUGGGGGCGAGCGGCGGACGGGUGAGUAAUGCAUAGGAAUCUGCCCGAUAGUGGGGGAUAACCUGGGGAAACCCAGGCUAAUACCGCAUACGUCCUACGGGAGAAAGGGGGGGCUCUUCGGACCUCGCGCUAUCGGAUGAGCCUAUGUCGGAUUAGCUGGUUGGUGAGGUAACGGCUCACCAAGGCGACGAUCCGUAGCUGGUCUGAGAGGAUGAUCAGCCACAUCGGGACUGAGACACGGCCCGAACUCCUACGGGAGGCAGCAGUGGGGAAUAUUGGACAAUGGGGGCAACCCUGAUCCAGCCAUGCCGCGUGUGUGAAGAAGGCCUUCGGGUUGUAAAGCACUUUCAGUGGGGAAGAAAGCCUUCCGGCCAAUACCCGGGAGGAAGGACAUCACCCACAGAAGAAGCACCGGCUAACUCCGUGCCAGCAGCCGCGGUAAUACGGAGGGUGCGAGCGUUAAUCGGAAUUACUGGGCGUAAAGCGCGCGUAGGUGGCUUGAUAAGCCGGUUGUGAAAGCCCCGGGCUCAACCUGGGAACGGCAUCCGGAACUGUCAGGCUAGAGUGCAGGAGAGGAAGGUAGAAUUCCCGGUGUAGCGGUGAAAUGCGUAGAGAUCGGGAGGAAUACCAGUGGCGAAGGCGGCCUUCUGGACUGACACUGACACUGAGGUGCGAAAUCGGGGGUAGCAAACAGGAUUACAUACCCGGGUAGUCCACGCCGUAAAACGAGCUCGACUACCCGUUUGGGUCCCUUCGCGGACUUUGUUGU
rnacentral:rRNA from 1 species